GACAGGUGGAGCUGAAGUUUCCAGCUCCCUCUAAAACGGGGAACUACCAGUACUCUGUCAUCCUCCGCUCAGACUCUUACCUGGGUCUGGACCAGAUCAGACCCCUCAAGCUGGAGGUGCACGAGGCCAAGGCGGUGUUGGAUAACCACCCCCAGUGGGACAUCCCAGAAACGGAGGAGGAAGACGAGGAACAGGAGGACAGUGACGGGAUUGAGGAGAGCGAAGAGGAGGAUGAAGACAACGACUAAACACACACACAAACACACACAACCACCCCAGGGCAGUUUGUACACACACACAACCACCCCAGGGCAGUUUGUACACACACAC